AGAGUUUGAUCAUGGCUCAGGAUGAACGCUGGCGGCGUGCUUAACACAUGCAAGUCGAACGGAGAACUUUCGCUGAUGCGAGCUUGCUCAAAUCUUGAGAGUUCUUAGUGGCGGACGGGUGAGUAACGCGUGGGUAACCUGCCGUAUGCAGGGGGACAACAGCUGGAAACGGCUGCUAAUACCGCAUAAGCGCACAGUACCGCAUGGUACAGUGUGAAAAGUUCUGGCGGCAUACGAUGGACCCGCGUCUGAUUAGCUAGUUGGUAAGGUAACGGCUUACCAAGGCAACGAUCAGUAGCCGGCCUGAGAGGGUGAACGGCCACAUUGGGACUGAGACACGGCCCAAACUCCUACGGGAGGCAGCAGUGGGGAAUAUUGGACAAUGGGGGAAACCCUGAUCCAGCGACGCCGCGUGAGUGAAGAAGUAUUUCGGUAUGUAAAGCUCUAUCAGCAGGGAAGAAAAUGACGGUACCUGACUAAGAAGCUCCGGCUAAAUACGUGCCAGCAGCCGCGGUAAUACGUAUGGAGCAAGCGUUAUCCGGAUUUACUGGGUGUAAAGGGAGCGUAGACGGUUUAGUAAGUCUGAAGUGAAAGCCCGGGGCUCAACUCCGGGACUGCUUUGGAAACUAUUAAACUAGAGUGCAGGAGAGGUAAGUGGAAUUCCUAGUGUAGCGGUGAAAUGCGUAGAUAUUAGGAGGAACACCAGUGGCGAAGGCGGCUUACUGGACUGUAACUGACGUUGAGGCUCGAAAGCGUGGGGAGCAAACAGGAUUAGAUACCCUGGUAGUCCACGCCGUAAACGAUGAUUACUAGGUGUGGGGGGAUUGACCCCUUCCGUGCCGCAGUUAACACAAUAAGUAAUCCACCUGGGGAGUACGACCGCAAGGUUGAAACUCAAAGGAAUUGACGGGGGCCCGCACAAGCAGUGGAGUAUGUGGAUUAAUUCGAAGCAACGCGAAGAACCUUACCAGGUCUUGACAUCAAGUGACCGUUCUAGAGAUAGGACCUUCUCUUCGGAGACACGAAGACAGGUGGUGCAUGGUUGUCGUCAGCUCGUGUCGUGAGAUGUUGGGUUAAGUCCCGCAACGAGCGCAACCCUUAUGAUUAGUUGCUACGCAAGAGCACUCUAAUCAGACUGCCGUUGACAAAACGGAGGAAGGUGGGGAUGACGUCAAAUCAUCAUGCCCUUUAUGACCUGGGCCUCACACGUACUACAAUGGCGUUUAACAAAGAGCAGCGAGACCGCGAGGUGGAGCAAAUCUCCAAAAAACGUCUCAGUUCAGAUUGCAGGCUGCAACUCGCCUGCAUGAAGUCGGAAUUGCUAGUAAUCGUAGAUCAGCAUGCUACGGUGAAUACGUUCCCGGGCCUUGUACUCACCGCCCGU
rnacentral:rRNA from 1 species